UACGUAGGUGGCAAGCGUUGUCCGGAUUUAUUGGGCGUAAAGCGCGCGCAGGCGGUUUCUUAAGUCUGAUGUGAAAGCCCUCGGCUUAACCGAGGAGGGUCAUUGGAAACUGGGAGACUUGAGUGCAGAAGAGGAAAAGUGGAAUUCCAAGUGUAGCGGUGAAAUGCGUAGAGAUUUGGAGGAACACCAGUGGCGAAGGCGACUUUCUGGUCUGUAACUGACGCUGAGGCGCGAAAGCGUGGGGAGCAAACAGG
rnacentral:rRNA from 1 species